rnacentral:tRNA from 1 species
GGGGCUGUGGCUCAGGGGUAGAGCAUCUCCCUGCCAUUCAGAAGGCCCCGGGUUCAAUCCCCAGCACCUCCA